UCACGGAGCAGUAAGCAUAGAGCGAACUCAUCUUUCGCCUUUUACUAAAGAAUACUAUGUGCUUGCCUCAUCUUUCUUAUUUUACUAAAGAAUAUUGUGUGCUUUAGUUAGAGGCAUA